rnacentral:rRNA from 1 species
UACAGAGGUGGCAAGCGUUGUUCGGAAUUACUGGGCGUAAAGGGCGCGUAGGCGGCCUUCUAAGUCAGACGUGAAAUCCCCCGGCUUAACCUGGGAACUGCGUCUGAUACUGGGAGGCUUGAGUAUGGGAGAGGGAUGUAGAAUUCCAGGUGUAGCGGUGAAAUGCGUAGAUAUCUGGAGGAAUACCGGUGGCGAAGGCGGGUCUCUGGGCCGAUACUGACGCUGAGGAGCGAAAGCGUGGGGAGCGAACAGG